AGUGAACGCUGGCGGUAGGCCUAACACAUGCAAGUCGAACGGCAGCACAGUAAGAGCUUGCUCUUACGGGUGGCGAGUGGCGGACGGGUGAGGAAUACAUCGGAAUCUACCUUUUCGUGGGGGAUAACGUAGGGAAACUUACGCUAAUACCGCAUACGACCUACGGGUGAAAGCAGGGGAUCUUCGGACCUUGCGCGAUUGAAUGAGCCGAUGUCGGAUUAGCUAGUUGGCGGGGUAAAGGCCCACCAAGGCGACGAUCCGUAGCUGGUCUGAGAGGAUGAUCAGCCACACUGGAACUGAGACACGGUCCAGACUCCUACGGGAGGCAGCAGUGGGGAAUAUUGGACAAUGGGCGCAAGCCUGAUCCAGCCAUACCGCGUGGGUGAAGAAGGCCUUCGGGUUGUAAAGCCCUUUUGUUGGGAAAGAAAAGCAGCAGGUUAAUACCCCGCUGUUCCGACGGUACCCAAAGAAUAAGCACCGGCUAACUUCGUG
rnacentral:rRNA from 1 species